GACGAACGCUGGCGGCGUGCUUAACACAUGCAAGUCGAACGGAAAGGCUCCAGCUUGCUGGAGUGCUCGAGUGGCGAACGGGUGAGUAACACGUGGGCAAUCUGCCCUGCACUCUGGGAUAAGCCUGGGAAACUGGGUCUAAUACCGGAUAGGACCUUUCUCCUCAUGGGGUUUGGUGGAAAGUUUUUCGGUGCAGGAUAAGCCCGCGGCCUAUCAGCUUGUUGGUGGGGUAAUGGCCUACCAAGGCGACGACGGGUAGCCGGCCUGAGAGGGUGAUCGGCCACAUUGGGACUGAGAUACGGCCCAGACUCCUACGGGAGGCAGCAGUGGGGAAUAUUGCACAAUGGGCGAAAGCCUGAUGCAGCGACGCCGCGUGAGGGAUGACGGCCUUCGGGUUGUAAACCUCUUUCAGUAGGGACGAAGCGCAAGUGACGGUACCUGCAGAAGAAGCACCGGCUAACUACGU
rnacentral:rRNA from 1 species